AUGCAUGUUAACCGAGGGCUGCAACCGACUAUGGCAGCAGUUUCUCCAACAGCAUGCUAGAAAAACUGAGGGGCUUUGACAGGUUGUGUUUUCUUGGUUCUACAAGCUGUCACUCAACCCUCUUACAAUG